UUUACGUCUGUAGUUAACAGGAUGAGAAUCUCCGAAGGAGGUUUGAGCCGGGCGAAGCGAGACAACGUUGCGUAGCAACGGCCCGAAGGGGAAUAACCCUUUCUCGCCGACCA
rnacentral:sRNA from 1 species